UUAGGCUUACUGACCUUUAGAAUUCACAUCAAAAGAUGAGAGGUGUCAGUAGAUUUGGAAAAGAGGAAAGGUGGCUGCACAAAGCUGCCACCAAUAAGACCAAACCACAGUGCUCAGAAAGCAAACAACGUUCAGGCUCUUGAUGUGGGUGUGCACAGUCCAGAAACUAGAGACAGCACACAUUUUGCUCCACUUGUUCUACCUCCAAUCAAUGGUAGCCAUCCACUACCAUUUCA